rnacentral:rRNA from 1 species
AUUUUCGUCAAUGGGGGAAACCCUGAACGAGCAAUGCCGCGUGAGUGAAGAAGGUCUUCGGAUCGUAAAGCUCUGUUGUAAGUGAAGAACGGCUCAUAGAGGAAAUGCUAUGGGAGUGACGGUAGCUUACCAGAAAGCCACGGCUAACUACGUGCCAGCAGCCGCGGUAAUACGUAGGUGGCAAGCGUUAUCCGGAAUCAUUGGGCGUAAAGGGUGCGUAGGUGGCGUACUAAGUCUGUAGUAAAAGGCAAUGGCUCAACCAUUGUAAGCUAUGGAAACUGGUAUGCUGGAGUGCAGAAGAGGGCGAUGGAAUUCCAUGUGUAGCGGUAAAAUGCGUAGAUAUAUGGAGGAACACCAGUGGCGAAGGCGGUCGCCUGGUCUGUAACUGACACUGAGGCACGAAAGCGUGGGGAGCAAAUAGG